CUGAGCAAGAUGGAGAAGCAGGGCACGUGCAUUACUAACUCAUCAUGCAAAUAUACUACACUUCAAUUCCAACUUGUGCUAUAUGAUCCCAUAUGCACGAGUCAGUUGUUAUUGGAGUAUUACAAGAUAUAAAAGGCUCAAUGGGUGGGUGUAUGCUUCAAUCUACCAAACCCUACCUGAGUAUCUUAUUGUCAUGGUUAUAAUCAAGAUACCAAACCCUGGAAGUAUUUAGCCAGCAUAGAAAAGAAUGCUUCUUCUUGUUCCGCUGAUUAUAAUUCGUCAGGAUGAACUUUGUAGUUGUAGUUCAUCGCAUAUGAAAUAAAAUCAGCGGAUGGUAGAUUUAGAAUGGAAUUUUAAAGUUUUAUAACCAAAGUUUAAUUAGGUGCUUCAAGCCUCCGUGUUGGUGUAUGCAAUUGAGUUAGUGGUUCAUGUGCCCAUCUUCCCCAUCAUGACCAC
rnacentral:pre_miRNA from 2 species